ACUUACAUAUUUUUUCUCAAGCUCUAGCUCACCAUGCAGGACAAAGGUAAGUCCGUACUUAAUGUCAACACAAAUAAGUAGAAAAGGUUUAAAAAUGAUGUCGUGAACUGACUGUAGUCUCUUGUUUUUACAUAAGGUAUAGCCUGUGGCUAAGGGAUCAGAGGUGCUUUACACUUGUCCUCUCCCAGCAUUCCAGACGGCGUUAACACAGAGAGAUGCUCCACCCAGAAGACAGCCUUACCCCAACCCGAUGAGAAGGAUGGAUGACCAAAUGACAAACUGGAGAGUGGUGCUGUGUUCCAGCUAUGGCAGCUGAGAGUGGACAGAGCUGCACAGAAGACCAAAGAUCCACUCUCAGCACUUCAUACCUGACUGGCCACAGCACCACCCCUCUUCACCCAGGGUGAGGAGGGUCCUGACCCCGCCUGCACAG